ACGACUUUACAGUCUGUGGACUGCACUGCCCAGCAUUUGCAUGUAUUAUAACCACCUUGCAACUGCCUACCCUCACUGUUUCAUUACACUGUUUCAAUCAACAUAUUACUGCCGGUCGGUCAAAUGUAUUUCAUCAUGUUAAUCCCGGUUUGGAAGAUGGAUUUCAGAUGCUUAAAAUGCAACACUAACAAUGUACAUUUGGUGUCUUUGUUGUGAGUGGUGAUUGUUAUGUGUUUACUUCUAAUGUUCGGCUAAUCUAACUCUCUGACUGGAUUGAAUGACAUAUGUAGGCAUGUACAGUUCAAUAGUGAGUCAUUUAGUAAAAUAAAAACGUGUGGCCCACA